ACAAUGGAAGCCUCCGCGCCCCAUCCGGGGAGGUGGCCAUAAGAGAUAUUGUUCAGUUUGUGCCUUUCAGACAGUUCCAGAAUGCUCCAAAGGAAGCACUUGCGCAGUGUGUCUUGGCAGAGAUCCCCCAGCAGGUGGUGGGUUACUUCAACACAUACAGACUCCUUCCUCCCAAAAACCCAGCUGUGAAGUAGAAGGAGCCGGGAGCUACAGGACGUCCAAAGCCAUGUGGAGCAGCGCCAUCUCUUACACAGAAUGAUGUAUCGCCAUCUGCGCUUUUUACCCCCCAGGGUUUCUGAUGCAAACCCAGCUUUUUGUAUAUAUUCUAUCAGUUUAAAACAUACAUUUUAUACUUUCUGAAGAGGACAGUAGCAAGUCCAUUUCUGCCCAAUGAACUCAGUGGCUGUUAGUGAUUUAUAGAAAUUACAAGAGUGCAGUUUGGAAUUGAUUUUAAUUUGGGAAAAAUUGGUUUGUUGUAUAUUUUCUAUAAUGAAAAUGCCAUUCUUAAGUGUUGCCAGUAGAGUGAAUGAGGCAUUACAGGAUGAAGUGGUAUACAAGUUUUGCUCUUCUGUUUUAGUAAAUAUUUUGCAAGCCAGUGUCGGUACUGUGAUGGAGAGAGCUGCUUAGGUCAGUCACAGAGUUCAUACCUGUUACUCUAUACUCUGUCCCUUUCUGUGCUGCAGUGCUACAGUGUAUAAAACUGUUUUCAUGUAGUUGCUUAUGAAAACCAGUGGACUUAACUUCGUUUUGAAAAUGUACAAUCAACCUAUGGAGAGCUCCUUGUAGACAAGACAUUUUUCUUUGCCUUUUGAAAUCCCUUCACUGUGAACUCUUGCACACAGCGUGUCUUUGCUUUACUGAGCAAACAAGACACUCAAACUUCUGUGGACACACAAUGAUAGGUCAUCCCGGAGGCCACAUUAUUAGAUCAGCAUUGUCGACUUAACUGGAACUGUGUUCACUAAAGCUUUGAGGGCCAAACAUUUAAGAUGAAAAUUCAAACCAGUUGCAGACCAGGCAUGGUGACACAUCAUGUGAGCACUUGGAAGGAAGAGGCAUGAGGCCAGCACGAGCCAACCCACCUGCAUAGUUAAUUCCAGGUCUGACAGCUAUCCAGUGAGAGUGUGGUUCAGUACAACAAAGAAAAAUAAGUAAUUGAGAAAUACAUUUCUUCUAUCUAAUGGAAUAAUUGCAAAAGGUCAUUAGUAUUUUUUUCUUGCUAAGGUCCUGUGUAUUGAUUUUUAUAGAGUUAUUUAGAUUUUUUUGUCUUUUUAAAAAAUAGUAUUAUUUUUCUUUAAACCUCUAAUUCUAGUUAUUUAUUAAUCAAAAUUCCAUUUUUUCAUUUCAAUAAUGUACUAUUUCCAAAGUCCAGAAUGUAUUCUGUUAAGCACAAAACCUGAUAUAACAUUUAAAAAAAGAGAAGAAAGAACAACAUAUACAUACCCUGUUCUAGCUGCUAUAUUUACAUAGAGUGGACUUAGUAUUCUUAUUUUGAAGAAUUGAAUUAUUUUAACUUUAUCCUGUAGGACAUACUGUUCAGUGAGUACACAUUUUUGGAAUAGAUUUUGUAACAUUUGCCUGAGCAUCUGGAUGUCAAAUAUUUGCCUAUCUAUGCAGUGGCCAAUUAUUGUUAACAGUUUAACAAGUAGCAUUGUGUAUCCACCACAUAUCCUCAAGUAUAUAUCCACAGAGAGCAUCCAUGCCAGCGUUACCGAAUCCUUCUGCCACUGCCUGUCUUUGUUUCCUGCAGGCUUCUCAGGAACAGCUUCUGUCAGCAGAAGAUCCACUUGUCUUGUUUGCCUGGCUCAGUGAGCAGUGGCGCCUCCUUCCCACAUGGGUAAUUGGCAUCUGGAUUGUGCUGUUAACCUGAAACAGUGUACCUCUGUAUAGCAGAGUUUCUUAAAAUUUAUUUUCAUUUUGAGUCCUUUCACCCAAGAAAUUUUAUGUAACCCCAGUUUUUAUAGGUAUACAAAGUUAUACUUAAGAUAGGUAUACAAAUCAAACAUUGCCAGUAAACCAAAUUAUUUCAGGAGCCUGGAGAGAUGGCUCUGGGUUAAUAAUACAUUCACUCUUGCAGCUGGUUUCUGUUGCUUUCCAGCAUGUAUGUCAGGCAGCUCUACUACUUGACUGUAACUCUAGCUUCAGGGGGUCUGGUGGUCUCCUCUGCCCUCCACGAGGACCUACUUUUGUAUGUGUGUGUGUGCGUGUGCGUGUGCGCAUGUGUGUGUGUGUGUGUGUGUGUGUGUGUGUGUGUGUGUGCACGCACACACUCUCAGCUAUUUGGUAUUGUAGUACACAGAGCAUCUUUAAUGUACUGCAGAGUUGACUGAUAUUUUGAUUUUGUGAUUGCCAAUACUUUGAACCCCUUUUCACAUAAAUACAUAGUACAAAAUGCCAUCAGUGUUUAGAGGUAUUUCAGAAGCUGCAAAUUCUGUCCUCAUCCUAAGCCAAAAUAUAAAGUUUUUUUUAAUGAAGCUUAUGUUGACAGUUUUUAAAAUCAAACUUUCUAGCACAGUACAAUCUAGACAUAAAUUGAUUUGAUAUUGACUUGAUUCAGGCUGGCAGGAAAAUAUUGAUGUCUUUCUUUUCUGUAACUAAGCAUUUAUGCUAAAGCUGAGUAUGGACAAUAAAAUCACUGUAUACAUAAAACGCACAAAGUAACCUUGAGUCUGAGCUGAGGUGUUCAGGCAGUGUUCACUGUUGUUGGGUGACAUGGCAGCCGUGUAGUGCAGAAUGCACCUGCUGUCUAUUGACAGCCAAGGCUGCAGUGAAGUUGAGCGAUACAAGGUGGACAAGCCCUGCCAGAAACACCUCAGAGUCAUUACACAUUUCGUUUUGAAUCCAUUUUUGGCCAUCGUUCAUUAGAAAGCUUUACUGUUGUCUGGUUUUUCCAGUCAGUUACAUGACUGCCUAUGGGACCAGGGCCUGCAGUUGAAGAAUGUGGGCUUUGUGGGAUGACUCAGUAGUAACAACUCAGUUAUCAGUAGAGGUGACAACAUCUGAUCCCCUCCCCCCCCUUUUUUUCUCUCUUUUGAAACCAUUAUUAUUCCACGGUCUCAGUAUCAGUUCUCUGUGGUGGGAAGAUGUCACAGUGGCUUUCAGGACUUUCUUUUGCAUACGAGGGAGCCAGGUCAGAAAUGGCUUACAGGUUCUCUGUAGGUUACUCGGUAGGAGAGUGGCUUUUGACUCUGAAGCAAGGCUCACUAGGCUUGCUCAGCCCCUGAGAGUACGCAGGACUGAAGGCCCUUCUUCAUCCGGUAGCCAUCUUGCUUCUGCCACUUGGUCUUGAACAGUUUUCUAUUCUGGUUUACCAUCACUUUUUCCUGAUGAGAUAACUUUUCUUUAAAUGACUCGUCUUGAUCCAGUUUUAUAGAAACUGUGAUUCUGGCAAAUUAAAAUAAUCCAUAGCUGUCUGCAGUUUGAAAUAAAAGCAUUUCCAACUUCUAGAUUAUUAUGCUAUGAAAUUCUUCGUCUCGGCACUCACCUUCAUUCCGUAUUAUUUUAUAGUGGUUUGUACUCAAAUGUUUAUUUUUUCCUGUUGUGCCUCGAUUUCAACAAAUGCCGUUCACUUUUAAAGAACAUCUAAAAUAAAAAUCACAGAAGUGACCUUCAUGUCUCUGUAAUUUGUAUGCACAUGGCCAUCUUGUUCAUUGACACACAAUUUCUCUCAUGCAUAUAUUCAGGAAUGGUUUUUGUACUGGCCUAGUCACCUCAUCUUCUGUAGAAGAUUGAUUUGUCUGAGACCAUUAACCCUGUAAAUCACCUGCGGGAUAUUUACGAGUGUUCACUUUAGACAGCGCUUUGUUAGCUUUUCCAGAAUAGGCCCAGGGCCUCACUGAUGUUGGGCUGCCUUUUACGUGCCUUGCCCUUUUCAUUUCAUAUUAGAAAGCCAUCUUCAAGAGGGCUCUCUAGGCUGAUUUUCUUAGAGGUGAUGUAAGGUAAGUUAGCAGCUGGGUGGAAAUUGUGAGCCGUUGUCUUCUGGAGGACAGCACAGUAUGUGCAUAACUUACUAAAUACUUAAGUUUAUAUUAAAUACAUUGUCCGUGUGAGUUCCCUUUAAAUAAAGUUACUCUUGAUGUAA
rnacentral:lncRNA from 1 species